rnacentral:rRNA from 1 species
UACGGGGGGGGCAAGCGUUGUUCGGAAUUACUGGGCGUAAAGGGCUCGUAGGUGGCCAACUAAGUCAGACGUGAAAUCCCUUGGCUUAACCGGGGAACUGCGUCUGAUACUGGAUGGCUUGAGUUCGGGAGAGGGAUGCGGAAUUCCAGGUGUAGCGGUGAAAUGCGUAGAUAUCAAGAGGAACACCUGAGGUGAAGACGGGUUGCUGGGCUGACACUGACGCUGAGGCGCGAAAGCCAGGGGAGCAAACGGG